AGCUUUUUGAUUUUAUAUAAAAGGUUUAACCUGCCCAGUGACUCACGAGUUUAACGGCCGCGGUACCCUGACCGUGCUAAGGUAGCAUAUAAUUUGCCCUUUAAUUGGGGGCUAGAAUGAAAGGAUAAACGAAAGAUAAGCUGUCUCUAUAACAAUAAAAUAAAUUUAUCUUUAAGUGAAAAAGCUUAAAUAAUAUUAAAAGACAAAAAGACCCCAUAGAGCUUAGCUAAAAUUACAUAAAAAAGAAAUGACCCAUUUUUAAUUUUAUUACAACUAUAGCUUAACUGGGGCGGUUUAGGAGCAAAUAACCUCCUUUUUAAAAAAAGGUUCUACACCAAAUAUGAUCCAAAAAAGAUUAAAAAAAUAAGCUACCUUGGGGAUAACAGGCUAAUAUCUUUUAAGAGUACAAAUCGAAAAAGAAGUUUGGCACCUCGAUGUUGGCUUAGAGGAACCUUCAGGUAGCAGAAGCUUAAAAGGCAGGUUUGUUCAACCUUUAAACCUCU
rnacentral:rRNA from 1 species